UACCAGCACCCCGAGUGGUCGGGACGUUUAUUGGGCCUAAAGCAUCCGUAGCCGGUUCUACAAGUCUUCCGUUAAAUCCAACUGCUUAACAGGUGGGCUGCGGAAGAUACUAUAGAGCUAGGAGGCGGGAGAGGCAAGCGGUACUCGACGGGUAGGGGUAAAAUCCGUUGAUCCAUUGAAGACCACCAGUGGCGAAGGCGGCUUGCCAGAACGCGCUCGACGGUGAGGGAUGAAAGCUGGGGGAGCAAACCGG
rnacentral:rRNA from 1 species